rnacentral:sRNA from 24 species
CUUUAAAAAUCUGGAUCAAGCUGAAAAUUGAAACACAGAACAACGAAAGUUGUUCGUGAGUCUCUCAAAUUUUCGCAACACGAAGUGAAACAUCUUCGG